rnacentral:lncRNA from 1 species
GAGUUCACCUCUUAAUGAGUGCAAACCCAGUAAGCACAACCAGGAGGUAAGAGUGGAGAGAGAAUCAUUACUUGCAGCAGACAGGAUCUUGCUAUGCAGCCCAGGCUGACCUCAAACUCAUGGCAAUCCUCCUGCCUCAGCAUCCCAAGUGCUGGGAUCACAGAUUACAAAAUGAAUAUGUCUGUGGAGAGGAGACCACCACACAAGUGGGUGAUGAUGCACAGCCGUAAUCUUCCAACCACAACUCUGCCAUCAGAGACAAUGCCAGUGCUGAGGGACCAUAAUCCCCCCAGCAAAGGUUCCAUGGCAAUAAAAGAAUUCAAGUUCUCUGUAUGUGGAUCCAAAAUAAGGGAUCUUGGUAUGUUGCCCAGGCCAGUUUCAAAUUUGUGAUUCUCACUUUAGCCUUCCAAGUACCUGGGAUUAUAGUUGACCACGCACCAGGUGGAGAACCCAAAAGAACUACAGCAAAAGCUACAGCGAAGACUUUAGCAACAGCAGAAAGCAAAACAGAGAGCAGCAGCCUGCAGCUUAUCUUCCUCUCUCUGCCUCAGAUGCUUUCUAGAUGUAAAGCUGGCAUAAAAUAGCACUAAAACCUUACAGAGUUGUGUUGAGGAUAAGGGGGACAUCACGCAAGAAAGUUUAAGUAUAACGCGUGAAACCCUCCUCUCUUUUAACACAUUUCUUUCCCUAUUAAUGAAACACCUGCUGAAACCUGCAUACUAUAGUAGUCCACG